rnacentral:rRNA from 1 species
AUUGAUGAAGAACGCAGCGAAAUGCGAUAAGUAAUGUGAAUUGCAGAAUUCAGUGAAUCAUCGAAUCUUUGAACGCACAUUGCGCCCCUUGGCAUUCCUUGGGGCAUGCCUGUUCGAGCGUCACU